AAAUUUUCAUCAAUAUUUAUCCCAAAUUUGCAUUCCUUGAUGCUUUUAUAAGUGUGUAAGCUAAUGGGUUAUGAUUUGAAAGAGAGAGGCUUGAGUGGGAUCCCAACAACAGUCAAGACGCAUCUCGUUUAAAGGGUUAAAAAGAUAGGAUGAAAGGCAAAGAAGAAGAUGCCGCCACUNNNCGCCACUCUUUUCAAAGAGUCUGUGCUUGGGUGUCUCCAAUUUGUCAUUUUUCCCUCUUUCUUGACCUUUUUUUGAUUUGGGUUUUUCCCACAAUGACG
rnacentral:misc_RNA from 1 species